AGAGUUUGAUCCUGGCUCAGAUUGAACGCUGGCGGCAUGCCUAACACAUGCAAGUCGAACGGAAACGAUGGGAGCUUGCUCCCAGGCGUCGAGUGGCGGACGGGUGAGUAAUACUUAGGAAUCUGCCCAUUAGUGGGGGACAACUCGAGGAAACUCGAGCUAAUACCGCAUACGCCCUACGGGGGAAAGCGGAGGACCUUUCGGGGCUUCGCGCUAAUGGAUGAGCCUAAGUCGGAUUAGCUUGUUGGUGAGGUAAAGGCUCACCAAGGCGACGAUCCGUAGCUGGUCUGAGAGGACGAUCAGCCACACUGGGACUGAGACACGGCCCAGACUCCUACGGGAGGCAGCAGUGGGGAAUAUUGGACAAUGGGCGCAAGCCUGAUCCAGCAAUGCCGCGUGUGUGAAGAAGGCCUGCGGGUUGUAAAGCACUUUCAGUAGAGAAGAAAAGCCUAUGGUUAAUACCCGUGGUCUUGACGUUACCUACAGAAGAAGCUCCGCUAACU
rnacentral:rRNA from 1 species